rnacentral:rRNA from 1 species
GAUGAACGCUGGCGGCGUGCCUAAUACAUGCAAGUCGAGCGAACAGACGAGGAGCUUGCUCCUCUGACGUUAGCGUCGGACGGGUGAGUAACACGUGGAUAACCUACCUAUAAGACUGGGAUAACUUCGGGAAACCGGAGCUACUACCGGAUAAUAUAUUGAACCGCAUGGUUCAAUAGUGAAAGACGGUUUUGCUGUCACUUAUAGAUGGAUCCGCGCCGCAUUAGCUAGUUGGUAAGGUAACGGCUUACCAAGGCAACGAUGCGUAGCCGACCUGAGAGGGUGAUCGGCCACACUGGAACUGAGACACGGUCCAGACUCCUACGGGAGGCAGCAGUAGGGAAUCUUCCGCAAUGGGCGAAAGCCUGACGGAGCAACGCCGCGUGAGUGAUGAAGGUCUUCGGAUCGUAAAACUCUGUUAUUAGGGAAGAAAAAAUGUGUAAGUAAAUAUGCACGUCUUGACGGUACCUAAUCAGAAAGCCACGGCUAACUACGUG